rnacentral:rRNA from 2 species
UGGACCUCAGAUCAGGCAAGAUUACCCGCUGAGUUUAAGCAUAUCACUAAGCGGAGGAAAAGAAACUAACUAGGAUUUCCCUAGUAGC